ACCUGCGGAAGGAUCAUUACUGAACUGUCGAACAUGGGUUGUUGCUGGCCCCUGAAAGGGGGCAUGUGCACGCUCUGUUUACACAUCCACUCACACCUGUGCACCCUCCGUAGUUCUAUGGUCNGGAAGGCUUGUCUUUCCUCCAUCGGUCUGCGUCUUUACACACACACUUUGCGAUGUCUUGUGGAAUGUUUUCUGCGUCUAACGCAAUACAAUACAACUUUCAGCAACGUCUAAUUUGGCUCUCGCAUCGAUAAGGAACGCAGCGAAAUGCGAUAAGUAAUGUGAAUUGCAGAAUUCAGUGAAUCAUCGAAUCUUUGAACGCACCUUGCCCGCCUCGGUUAUUCCUUGGGGCAUGCCUGUUUGAGUAUCAUGAACACCUCAACUCUCAUGGUUUGCCGUGGAGAGCUUGGACUUUGGGGGCUUGCUGGCUGUUCGGUUCUCAGGUCAUAAAUGGAUCAGCUUGCCGGUGUUCGGCGGCGCCAUGGGUGUGAUAACUAUCUACGCUUGUGGUUGUCUGUCGGUUAGCCUUCUUUGUGGGGCUUGCUGGGGCUUACAAAUGUCUCUCCUUGUGAAGACAGCUUUGAACGUUCGAUCUCAAAUCAG
rnacentral:rRNA from 1 species